AAGUGUUGCAGUUUAUGAGGUGGGGCCAGGAACACUACUGCAAACUUUAAAACAGCACGCUAGGUACGUGACUGCAGUGGCUCGGUCUCCCAGCAUGCCCUGCGUCAUGGCCACUGGCUCCAUGGACCGAACCGUCAACGUGUGGAUGCUACGAGAUGGACACGGCGCAACUGGAA